CCUACGGGUGGCUGCAGUGGGGAAUAUUGCACAAUGGGCGCAAGCCUGAUGCAGCCAUGCCGCGUGUGUGAAGAAGGCCUUCGGGUUGUAAAGCACUUUCAGCGGGGAGGAAGGCGUUAAGGUUAAUAACCUUGGCGAUUGACGUUACCCGCAGAAGAAGCACCGGCUAACUCCGUGCCAGCAGCCGCGGUAAUACGGAGGGUGCAAGCGUUAAUCGGAAUUACUGGGCGUAAAGCGCACGCAGGCGGUCUGUCAAGUCGGAUGUGAAAUCCCCGGGCUCAACCUGGGAACUGCAUUCGAAACUGGCAGGCUAGAGUCUUGUAGAGGGGGGUAGAAUUCCAGGUGGAGCGGUGAAAUGCGUAGAGAUCUGGAGGAAUACCGGUGGCGAAGGCGGCCCCCUGGACAAAGACUGACGCUCAGGUGCGAAAGCGUGGGGAGCAAACAGGAUUAGAUACCCGAGUAGUC
rnacentral:rRNA from 1 species